AAAGCNGNAUUAAUACCGNUUNCGCUUUNCNGUGGAAAGGGGGGGAUCUUAAGACCUCCCGCUNCAGGGGCGGGCCAAGGCAAAUUACCUNUUNGNUGGGGUAAAGGCCUACCACGGCCACGAUCUNUAUCUGUUCUUNGAGGACGACCAUCCACACUGGGACUGAGACACGGACCCGACUCCUACUGNAGGCAGAAGUGGGGAAUUUUGGACAAUGGGGGCNACCCUGAUCCAGCAAUGCCACUUGUGUGAAGAAGGCCAACGGCUUGUAAAGCACUUUUGUUCUGAAAGAAAACGCCAUGGUUAAUACCCAUGGCGGAUGACGGUGCCGGAAGAAUAAGCACCGGCUAACUAUAUGNCAGCAGCCGCGGUCAUACGUAUGGUGCAGGCGNUAAUCUNAAUUACUGUUCCUAAAGCGUGCGCAGGCGGUCCGCUAUACCUGAUGUNAAAUCCCNAGGCUCAACCUGGGAACUGCAUUUGCAACUGGUACUCUAUAGUUUGAGUGAGGGNGGNUGAAUUCCACGUGUNGCNGUGAAAUGCGUAUACAUGUGGAGGAAUACCGAUGGCGAAGGCAGACCGCCUGGGCCAAUACUGACACUGAUGCUCGAAAGCGUGGGGAGCNNACAGGAUUAGAUACCCUGNUCGUCGACGCCCUAAACNAUGUCAACUAGAAGUNGGGUCUUGAUUNACUUGGNAACGUAACUAACGCGUGAANUUGACCACCUGGGGAGUACGG
rnacentral:rRNA from 1 species